rnacentral:rRNA from 1 species
CAGUAACGGCGAGUGAAGCGGCAACAGCUCAAAUUUGAAAUCUGGCUCUCGGGCCCGAGUUGUAAUUUGUAGAGGAUGCUUUUGGUGAGGUGCCUUCCGAGUUCCCUGGAACGGGACGCCAUAGAGGGUGAGAGCCCCGUCUGGUUGGACACCGAUCCUCUGUAAAGCUCCUUCGACGAGUCGAGUAGUUUGGGAAUGCUGCUCUAAAUGGGAGGUAUAUGUCUUCUAAAGCUAAAUACCGGCCAGAGACCGAUAGCGCACAAGUAGAGUGAUCGAAAGAUGAAAAGAACUUUGAAAAGAGAGUUAAACAGUACGUGAAAUUGUUGAAAGGGAAGCGCUUGUGACCAGACUUGGGCUUGGUUGAUCAUCCGGGGUUCUCCCCGGUGCACUCUUCCGGCUCAGGCCAGCAUCAGUUCGCCCUGGGGGACAAAGGCUUCGGGAAUGUGGCUCUCUCCGGGGAGUGUUA